CUAGACUUUUCAAAAAAAUUUAACUUUAUUUCAAUAAUUUCAUAGGACUUGAUGGCAAGGUACACAAAUGCACUCUAAGGAAUAUUUUGCAACAAAACUUUUCAUUCUCAAAAGUUUAUCUUUAGCUUGUCUUUAGGUUGAAUUUUUAAGUGAAGUAUUUCCCUAAAUUUACUUCCAAGUAUCAUGAUACACACCCUCCCAUAUUUACCUAUUAUACAUUUAAGGAUAUACACUUUGGA